rfam:Triticum urartu cultivar G1812 contig865271, whole genome shotgun sequence.
UCUUUACUCCCUCCGUCCCAAAAUUCUUGUCUUAGAUUCUAUUAGAUACGGAUGUAUCUAAUACUAAAACGUGACUUCAUACAUCCGUAUUUAGACAAAUUUAAGACAAAAAUUUUGGGACGGAGGGAGUAUUAU